UACGUAGGUGGCAAGCGUUGUCUGGAUUUACUGGGCGUAAAGAGCGCGCAGGCGGUCGUUCAAGUCGCGUGUGAAAGCCCCCGGCGUCAACUGGGGAGGGUCACGCGAUACUGAUCGACUCGAAGGCAGGAGAGGGAAGUGGAAUUCCCGGUGUAGUGGUGAAAUGCGUAGAUAUCGGGAGGAACACCAGUGGCGGAAGGCGACUUCCUGGACACUAACUGACGCUGAGACGCGAAAGCGUGGGAGCAAACAGG
rnacentral:rRNA from 1 species